rnacentral:lncRNA from 1 species
CACACACUCUCACACAUGCAUACACGCAGAGGAUACUCAGCACAGGGCUAGGGCAAUGGUUCCCUGAAGAGGGAGGAAGGGAGGCUUUUCCAAACUUUUUCUUCCUCACAGAAAGUUCGAAAAAAAAAAAUCAUUGCAUAAAGGAUCAGUCAAACUAUUUCCAGUGGUGCUUAUGACCAGCUAAGUGGGAGAGGACAGAAAAAGAGGCCACUGCUGGGACAGGAGAGUCCUUCAUCCAGAAGUCUCCUUACUUCUCUCCUGCUACUCCUGUCGAGGAAGAGAAAUUCCAACCCAACUAAAAUCAUCCUGCCUUGCUUUGUACAAGAGGGAGGGGAAGCCAGAUCUGUUGAGCCACCCCUGCCAAGAAGUAGCCAAAUGCUCUCUGAAUUGCCGGGGCCAAACUGCAGCAUGGGCAGGGUAACUCGCGAGCCUGAGCUCGCUGCCUGCUCCUUCCAGCUCGGCAGAGCCAUCACAAACAACUCUCACGACGGUUAAAGAAUUCCGGCACAAAGCAGACGAAGGCAGAUCUGGCCUCUCUAAAGCAGCUCAGAGCGACCACGGGAAGCAGAGACCGAACCGCAGCCGUGUACGAGGGGACCCAGCAGCGCCUGUGCCUGAACCGUACUGCUCCCCAAACGGGGAGGAGGUGGGCUGGCUUUCCAGAGCUCAGCCCAAACCUCACGGCAGCUUUCUGCUUUUAUGGCUGACCAGAAAGAAAACUGGUGUGAAGGCAUGCUUCUGUGCCUGUCAGGCCCGUGCUCAUGCUGACUGGCCCUGUCUGCUGGCUAAUGCAAGGGCCUGGCUUGUGGACUGGGCUGGCUCAUAGACACCCAUCCCAGAGUCCGU